rnacentral:rRNA from 1 species
GAGUGAACGCUGGCGGUAGGCCUAACACAUGCAAGUCGAACGGCAGCACAGUAAGAGCUUGCUCUUACGGGUGGCGAGUGGCGGACGGGUGAGGAAUACAUCGGAAUCUACUUUUUCGUGGGGGAUAACGUAGGGAAACUUACGCUAAUACCGCAUACGACCUACGGGUGAACGCAGGGGAUCUUCGGACCUUGCGCGAUUGAAUGAGCCGAUGUCGGAUUAGCUAGUUGGCGGGGUAAAGGCCCACCAAGGCGACGAUCCGUAGCUGGUCUGAGAGGAUGAUCAGCCACACUGGAACUGAGACACGGUCCAGACUCCUACGGGAGGCAGCAGUGGGGAAUAUUGGACAAUGGGCGCAAGCCUGAUCCAGCCAUACCGCGUGGGUGAAGAAGGCCUUCGGGUUGUAAAGCCCUUUUGUUGGGAAAGAAAAGCAGCAGGUUAAUACCCCGCUGUUCUGACGGUACCCAAAGAAUAAGCACCGGCUAACUUCGUG